rnacentral:tRNA from 2 species
GGAAAGAUGCCGGAGUGGUCGAUCGGGGCGGUCUCGAAAACCGUUGUGCCUUCGGGCACCCAGGGUUCGAAUCCCUGUCUUUCCG